rnacentral:rRNA from 1 species
AGAGUUUGAUCCUGGCUCAGAUUGAACGCUGGCGGAAUGCUUUACACAUGCAAGUCGAACGGCAGCACGGGAGCUUGCUCCUGGUGGCGAGUGGCGAACGGGUGAGUAAUGCGUCGGAACGUACCGAGUAAUGGGGGAUAACGCAGCGAAAGCUGUGCUAAUACCGCAUACGCCCUGAGGGGGAAAGCAGGGGAUCGCAAGACCUAGCGUUAUUCGAGCGGCCGACGUCUGAUUAGCUAGUUGGUGGGGUAAAGGCCUACCAAGGCGACGAUCAGUAGCGGGUCUGAGAGGAUGAUCCGCCACACUGGAACUGAGACACGGUCCAGACUCCUACGGGAGGCAGCAGUGGGGAAUUUUGGACAAUGGGGGCAACCCUGAUCCAGCCAUGCCGCGUGCAGGAAGACGGCCCUACGGGUUGUAAACUGCUUUUAUACGGGAAUAAACCUCUUUACGUGUAGAGAGUUGAAUGUACUGUAAGAAUAAGGAUCGGCUAACUCCGUGCCAGCAGCCGCGGUAAUACGGAGGAUCCAAGCGUUAUCCGGAUUUAUUGGGUUUAAAGGGUGCGUAGGCGGCCUAUUAAGUCAGGGGUGAAAGACGGUGGCUCAACCAUCGCAGUGCCUUUGAUACUGAAGAGCUUGAAUGAACCUGAGGUAGGCGGAAUGUGACAAGUAGCGGUGAAAUGCAUAGAUAUGUCACAGAACACCAAUUGCGAAGGCAGCUUACUAAGGUGUCAAUGACGCUGAGGCACGAAAGCGUGGGGAUCAAACUGGAUUAGAUACCCUGGUAGUCG